rnacentral:rRNA from 1 species
UUUUUUNNNCNNNNUCAGGAUGAACGCUGGCGGCGUGCCUAAUACAUGCAAGUCGAACGCUUUGUGGUUCAACUGAUUUGAAGAGCUUGCUCAGAUAUGACGAUGGACAUUGCAAAGAGUGGCGAACGGGUGAGUAACACGUGGGAAACCUACCUCUUAGCAGGGGAUAACAUUUGGAAACAGAUGCUAAUACCGUAUAACAAUAGCAACCGCAUGGUUGCUACUUAAAAGAUGGUUCUGCUAUCACUAAGAGAUGGUCCCGCGGUGCAUUAGUUAGUUGGUGAGGUAAUGGCUCACCAAGACGAUGAUGCAUAGCCGAGUUGAGAGACUGAUCGGCCACAAUGGGACUGAGACACGGCCCAUACUCCUACGGGAGGCAGCAGUAGGGAAUCUUCCACAAUGGGCGAAAGCCUGAUGGAGCAACGCCGCGUGUGUGAUGAAGGGUUUCGGCUCGUAAAACACUGUUGUAAGAGAAGAAUGACAUUGAGAGUAACUGUUCAAUGUGUGACGGUAUCUUACCAGAAAGGAACGGCUAAAUACGUGCCAGCAGCCGCGGUAAUACGUAUGUUCCAAGCGUUAUCCGGAUUUAUUGGGCGUAAAGCGAGCGCAGACGGUUAUUUAAGUCUGAAGUGAAAGCCCUCAGCUCAACUGAGGAAUUGCUUUGGAAACUGGAUGACUUGAGUGCAGUAGAGGAAAGUGGAACUCCAUGUGUAGCGGUGAAAUGCGUAGAUAUAUGGAAGAACACCAGUGGCGAAGGCGGCUUUCUGGACUGUAACUGACGUGNGCUCGA